UGCAGCCCAUCCCACUUCCCAUUCCUUAAGUUCACGCACAGCCCCCCUUCCUCUUUUCUUUUCUUCUUUUCCCUUCUUUCUUCUUUCUUUCGGCUUUUUUCUUUCUUCUCAACCAAACUGAGAGAUCGACUGACAGAGAGAUUGAGAGUGAGAGAGAGACCGAGUAAGAGGGAGAGAUUCAAGGAGAUUGAGAGGGAAAGAGAGUUGAGAGACAGUGAGAUGAGAUGAGAGAACGAGAUUGAGAAGGGAGGAUCCGGUGGUUCGUGAGGGGAGACUCGGAACCCAGGGGGACCCGAUCCUCUGUGGACGGUGGCUAGAAGCGAAAACCGGCGGUUCCAGUGGAGAUUCCGGCGAGCCCGUGACCCGUAACCCGCCAGAACCGGGAGAGAAGACCCACGACCUGCUGAACCCGAGAGGAAGACCCGAUCCUCCAUUAACGAACUCCGAUGGCCUGAGACGCGAAAUCCGGCGAUGGAUGAGCAAUUUCCGGUGAGCCUUACAAUCGGUGAACCAUAGAAACCCAAAGACCCGUUGAUUCGAGCAACCCGUGACCCGUACCCGUGUGACCCAACGGCUUAAAGGCUAGGUUUCCGGCGAGUUUUCCGGCGGUCUAGUAGCGAUUUCUGGUGGAUUUGUUGAGGAAAAUCCCUAAGGAUCAUGUUCGGAUUGGAGACUUUAGUUGGUUCUCCAAUGUAGAGUCCAAGUGACUAGAGUCCAAGGAGUGUUCGAGUUGGAGUCCAAUGCAGCCAAGAUGAUGUUUCUUUGGCUGCAGGUACUUCGAUAUAGUCGAUGGGUCGGUAGCAGUGUGCUUGGGAUAUUAUGACUGAAGCUCGCCGCGACAGUUGUAAUUGUCGGACCACGGGUUGUCCACUAUUUUAUAGGUUUGGUAUGGCUUGUGACGUUUGUGUCACUUAUUCUUUGUUAAGCCAUUAUUGUUAUAGUGUUAAUAAGAUUCAAACAGAUGGAUGUUAAAUGGCUCUUUGUUAUAAUUAACUUGUGAUAGAUGUAUAAGUUGUAAUUUCCACUAUUCAGAUUUAUGUUUUCCGUUGCAUA